rnacentral:rRNA from 1 species
GGAGAGUUUGAUCCUGGCUCAGGACGAACGCUGGCGGCGUGCCUAAUACAUGCAAGUGGGACGCAAGGGAACACACUGUGCUUGCACACCGUGUUUUCUUGAGUCGCGAACGGGUGAGUAACGCGUAGGUAACCUGCCUAUUAGCGGGGGAUAACUAUUGGAAACGAUAGCUAAUACCGCAUAAUAUUAAUUAUUGCAUGAUAAUUGAUUGAAAGAUGCAAGCGCAUCACUAGUAGAUGGACCUGCGUUGUAUUAGCUAGUUGGUAAGGUAAGAGCUUACCAAGGCGACGAUACAUAGCCGACCUGAGAGGGUGAUCGGCCACACUGGGAGUGAGACACCCCAGACUCCUACGGGAGGCAGCAGUAGGGAAUCUUCGGCAAUGGACGAAAGUCUGACCGAGCAACGCCGCGUGAGUGAAGAAGGUUUUCGGAUCGUAAAGCUCUGUUGUAAGUCAAGAACGUGUGUGAGAGUGGAAAGUUCACACAGUGACGGUAGCUUACCAGAAAGGGACGGCUAACUACGUGCCAGCAGCCGCGGUAAUACGUAGGUCCCGAGCGUUGUCCGGAUUUAUUGGGCGUAAAGGGAGCGCAGGCGGUCAGGAAAGUCUGGAGUAAAAGGCUAUGGCUCAACCAUAGUGUGCUCUGGAAACUGUCUGACUUGAGUGCAGAAGGGGAGAGUGGAAUUCCAUGUGUAGCGGUGAAAUGCGUAGAUAUAUGGAGGAACACCAGUGCCGAAAGCGGCUCUCUGGUCUGUCACUGACGCUGAGGCUCGAAAGCGUGGGUAGCGAUCAGGAUUAGAUACCCUGGUAGUCCACGCCGUAAACGAUGAGUGCUAGGUGUUAGGCCCUUUCCGGGGCUUAGUGCCGGAGCUAACGCAAUAAGCACUCCGCCUGGGGAGUACGACCGCAAGGUUGAAACUCAAAGGAAUUGACGGGGGCCCGCACAAGCGGUGGAGCAUGUGGUUUAAUUCGAAGCAACGCGAAGAACCUUACCAGGUCUUGACAUACCGAUGCUAUUCUUAGAGAUAGGAAGUUACUUCGGUACAUCGGAGACAGGUGGUGCAUGGUUGUCGUCAGCUCGUGUCGUGAGAUGUUGGGUUAAGUCCCGCAACGAGCGCAACCCUUAUUGUUAGUUGCCAUCAUUAAGUUGGGCACUCUAGCGAGACUGCCGGUAA